GACGAACGCUGGCGGCGUGCCUAAUACAUGCAAGUCGAGCGAAUCACUAGGAGCUUGCUCCUGGUGGUUAGCGGCGGACGGGUGAGUAACACGUGGGCAACCUGCCUGUAAGACUGGGAUAACACCGGGAAACCGGUGCCAAUACCGGAUAAUCCUUUUCCUCUCAUGAGGAAAAGCUGAAAGUCGGUUUCGGCUGACGCUUACAGAUGGGCCCGCGGCGCAUUAGCUAGUUGGUGAGGUAACGGCUCACCAAGGCGACGAUGCGUAGCCGACCUGAGAGGGUGAUCGGCCACACUGGGACUGAGACACGGCCCAGACUCCUACGGGAGGCAGCAGUAGGGAAUCCUCCACAAUGGACGAAAGUCUGAUGGAGCAACGCCGCGUGAGCGAUGAAGGCCUUCGGGUCGUAAAGCUCUGUUGUUAGGGAAGAACAAGUACCGGAGUAACUGCCGGUACCUUGACGGUACCUAACCAGAAAGCCACGGCUAACUAUGUGCCAGCCGCCGCAGUAACAC
rnacentral:rRNA from 1 species